ensembl:lncRNA
CUUGAGAUCAUGUUCACCGAGUUUCGAGGCAUACAGUUGAAAUUCCUCAGAGGAGUAUUUCAAAUUCCAGAGCAUUUGUUUUUCACAAAACCCUAAAUAGCCAACUUCCUGUUGGGCGGAGCUUAUGACAUGCAGUGCGAAAGUUGUUUGGUUUGAUGAGAUCUACAUGUGUACCGAGUUUCAUAUGUAUACGUGCAAGUAUGGAUGAUAUAUGGCCCUCAAUAUUCCAGGGGGCGCUGUAGAGCCCCUGUGCCACGCCCGUGUAUCAGUCUCUGCCCGGCCCUAAUGGCCGCAGAUUCCAAGGUGUGUGCCAAUUUUCAAGACUUUUUAAGCAUGUUAAGGGACCCAAAAGCCCCCGAACCCUUGGAAAAAAAUUAGAGGAAUAAAGAAAGAAAAAAAAAAAUAAUAAUAAUAAUCCUAAGGAAAACAAUAGGGCUCUUCGCCCUCCAGGCUUGAGCCCUAAUUAAAGCUGCAAGCAGCGAUGAACGGGCCCUCGCACCCAGGCUCACCACCACCGGGUGGCUUUUGUAAAACAGCGAACGGCCAGAUAUAUGCGUUUAAUGUGGUAAAUAUAAGAGGAAUAUGUCAAAGUCAUAUAUAUGUGCCAGUCUUCCUGCUGCCAGCUGGUGGCGCUAUGACUAUAACUGGAUUUUGUCAUGAGGAUUUCUUCAGUCCAG